rnacentral:rRNA from 1 species
GACGAACGCUGGCGGCGUGCUUAACACAUGCAAGUCGAACGGAAAGGCCCUGCUUUUGUGGGGUGCUCGAGUGGCGAACGGGUGAGUAACACGUGAGUAACCUGCCCUUGACUUUGGGAUAACUUCAGGAAACUGGGGCUAAUACCGGAUAGGAGCUCCUGCCGCAUGGUGGGGGUUGGAAAGUUUCGGCGGUUGGGGAUGGACUCGCGGCUUAUCAGCUUGUUGGUGGGGUAGUGGCUUACCAAGGCUUUGACGGGUAGCCGGCCUGAGAGGGUGACCGGCCACAUUGGGACUGAGAUACGGCCCAGACUCCUACGGGAGGCAGCGGGGGGGAAUAUUGCACAAUGGGCGGAAGCCUGAGGCAGCAACGCCGCGUGCGGGAUGACGGCCUUCGGGUUGUAAACCGCUUUCGCCUGUGACGAAGCGUGAGUGACGGUAAUGGGUAAAGAAGCACCGGCUAACUACGUG